UGGGGCCAGGUGAUGCGGGAUGGGGCAGGAGGCCACCUCAGGCCCCUGUCCUUCAGUUCUGGAGCUUGGCACCAGGAAGUCAAGCUCCGGUUUGUGUAUAGAGUGCUGGCUCCAAAUCAAAGGUGGCCAACAGAUGCUGUCACCAACAGGUGGAAUGGGGGACAGCCCAGGCCUCCUGGUCCUCGUCACUGGAUGCUGCUCAGUGUCCUCUGCACCCGCUCCCAGGUCUGGCCCAGCAGGAACUGCUCGACAGGUGACAGGUAAUGAAGGCCCCGGGCUGGUCACCAUGGUUCUGUGGCAUCGUUCUCAAUAGCUGCCCCAUGCCUGCUCCCUUGACCCGGUGUUCCGGCUCCGAGACAACAACACCCUCCUCUCUCCAGGGCAUGUCAUCAUCCCCUUCCUGCGGUGUAAACAUGGGUGACUGCCACCGAUGCUGCUGACUGCCCAGGUUCCAGUAAAAGCCCCUCCUUCCCCUGCCGGUUUCCCUCUCAUCACGCCCAGCUUGGCUCACACCCCGUCCUCCUCCCGCCACCCAGCCUGCUCCCUAGAAAGCACCGGAUGGAGCGCAUCCUGAGCUCCCGCAUGGGGGAGGCUGGAGGCCGUCAGUCUGCGGUUCUCCCAGGGUCCCAUCCACAUCUGUCAGGCCUGACCUGGCCCCGGGGCCCCAGUCCCAGGUGGGAACUUCUAGCUUGGGUGUUGGAUCCUGUCCAGGGCUCUGUACCAGAGCCCGCCUGGGUUCCUGCUGGGCUUCCAAAUGACUGCAGAGCGGAGACCUCCAGGUCCUAAGCCCCCCCAGCCACUCCCCCUCUCCUUGCCUCGCCUGUUCUAGGGAACCUGGGAGGGUGAGCCAUGAACCCACUUGCUUCAGAAUCAGGAGGCGUGCGGCCUGUAAUCCCAGGGACUCAGGAAGCUGAGCCAGGAGGGUUGAAAGUUCCAAGCCAGCCUCCGCAUCUUAGUGAGGCCCUAAGCAACUCAGUGAGUCCCUGUCUCUAAAUUAAAAAAUGGUCUGGAGAUGGGUCAGGUUAGGCGCCCCCGAGUUCA